rnacentral:rRNA from 1 species
UACGAAGGGUGCAAACGUUGCUCGGAAUUAUUGGGCGUAAAGCGCACGUAGGCGGCUUAGCAAGUCGGACGUGAAAUCCCUCGGCUCAACCAAGGAAGUGCUUUCGAAACUGCUGAGCUUGAGUAGUUAAGAGGAUCGCGGAAUUCCCGGUGUAGAGGUGGAAUUCGUAGAUAUCGGGAGGAACACCAGUGGCGAAGGCGGCGAUCUGGGAACAUACUGACGCUGAGGUGCGAAAGCGUGGGGAGCAAACAGG